GCCUGGCCUAUCCUUGGGUUUCACUUUGGCCUUAUCCACCUUGAGGGACUCUCACCACCGGCCACCAGGCCCGUGUGUGCUGCUGAUGGUCCUUCCUCUGGACAGCCUGCUUCUCCCCACUGCUGAGGACGCUCUGUCUCCCCUCCCACGUCACCCUGUUGUGAGGACAGGUGCCAGCACAUCCAGGCCUUCUAGUUUGCUUCCUCCCUCCUUCAGUGGUCGCUCUUUGAAAGACCACUUUAGGGCGCACUCUUGAGCCGCUGACCGCACCGGGCCUGCAGGUGCGGAGACCGUUCGGGUCCCAGGGUCGGCUCCCUCCCCUCCGCUCCCUACUCCCUCGGCCUCGCUGCGCGCCGCCCCCACCCCU